UACGUAGGUGGCAAGCGUUGUCCGGAUUUACUGGGCGUAAAGAGCGCGCAGGCGGUCGUUCAAGUCGCGUGUGAAAGCCCCCGGCUCAACUGGGGAGGGUCACGCGAUACUGAUCGACUCGAAGGCAGGAGAGGGUAGUGGAAUUCCCGGUGUAGUGGUGAAAUGCGUAGAUAUCGGGAGACACCAGUGGCGAAGGCGAGCUACCUGCCUGGUCUUGACGCUGAGGCGCGAAAGCUAGGGGAGCAACGGG
rnacentral:rRNA from 1 species